rnacentral:lncRNA from 1 species
GGGAAGGCAAGCGAAAAGAGAUAUAGAGGCACAGAGAGGGCAGAAGAGAAGAGGGAGACAGGAAAAGUCCUGUCUUCCCCAAUGGAACAGCGGGAAAGAGAUUACAAGCUUUUUAUAACAGAGAGAUAGGCCAGCUGCUGGUUCCACCCCAUUUCCACCAAGAAGACUGAUGGGCACUGAAGAAGCUUCAUCUUGAGUCAAUGACAACACUAGUCACUGAGCAACCCUGCCCUUCACCUCAACUGCUACAAAGUAUUCCAGACUGUGGACAAGAGGACAGUGGAAUCGACUUUCCCUGUGUUGCUUGGGCCAACGGAUUCUUGUAAGUUCCAGUGAGCGGAAUUGGAUCCAAACAAACAGGUCUAAGAGGCGCCAGGGAGUUCUGCACAGCCUGGACUGCAAUGAAACAACCAGCUACACCAGGACUUGGCAGCACCCUAACCUUCUCAGGUCCCCCAAAGAUGGUCAACGACCCCCACAUCAGCAGGAAGCAGUCUUGAGAAUUCGAUGUCCAUCCUUAUUCCUUAACCUGCUAUGUCUAAUACCCCACCUUUUUAAAUAAUAAGUAGAGGUGGGAAUGAAAGGUUCAGGCUUUAAUGCUGAUCGGCAAUAUCUCUUUAAGAGACAGACCCUGCCCCCUGACAACAGUCAGGGCACGCACAGGGACGUGCCAUCACCAAGUCACCCACUAUGCAUUACAGCCUGUGUGAGGACUCUGGGCAUUCGUGGAACCUCAGUGAGCAUGCUCAGUCUUCCCUUUAAAAGUUCCAACAUCCCUGCUGCUCUCUCUCUCUCUCUCUCUCUCUCUCUCAUCUCUCUCUCUCUCUACUUCACUCUCUCUUCUCCCACCCACGUGCUCUCUCUGCCUCUCUAUGGCAUCUGGCCAUGGUGGUCAGUCAUUACCCCUGUUCCUCUUCUCUCUUAGUCUCCCUACUCUGCCGGGCCCAUAUAACAUACUAGUCAAUAUGUCUCAUCUUGCGUCCUCCUCUUUUUCUUCAAAAACAUAACACUGGGAAUGUAUGCAUGCGCCACCAUGCCCAGAGUUCUUCUAAUAGUUGCUACCUACACUGGUCCUGGUGGGCCCUAGUACCCAACACCUACAGACUCCUAUUUAAGUAUAACUAAGUAACCGUUGGCUAAUGUUUCCUAAAUAAUUUUAUUUAAAAAAAACGGCAUGCUAAAAUAUGAAUCUAAAAAAUUAACUAUAUUUAUCAAAGGAAUGC